AACGAACGCUGGCGGCAUGCCUAACACAUGCAAGUCGAACGAGACCUUCGGGUCUAGUGGCGCACGGGUGCGUAACGCGUGGGAACCUGCCCUUAGGUUCGGAAUAACUCCCCGAAAGGGGUGCUAAUACCGGAUAAUGUCUUCGGACCAAAGAUUUAUCGCCUUUGGAUGGGCCCGCGUUGGAUUAGCUAGUUGGUAGGGUAAAAGCCUACCAAGGCGACGAUCCAUAGCUGGUCUGAGAGGAUGAUCAGCCACACUGGGACUGAGACACGGCCCAGACUCCUACGGGAGGCAGCAGUGGGGAAUAGUGGACAAGGGGCGAAAGCCUGAUACAGCAAUGCCGCGUGAGUGAUGAAGGCCUUAGGGUUGUAAAGCUCUUUUACCCGGGAUGAUAAUGACAGUACCGGGAGAAUAAGCUCCGGCUAACUCCGUG
rnacentral:rRNA from 1 species